rfam:Cephalotus follicularis DNA, scaffold: scaffold1591, isolate: St1.
GAGAAAUAGAGCCUGUCAAGUUAGCCAAGGAGACUGCCUGGAACCCAACAAGGGUACUACAUUAAAACCCUCCUAGAGGAUGCAGGCAAGUCAUCCUUGGCUACCAAACAAGACUCUUAUCC